rnacentral:rRNA from 1 species
CCUACGGGAGGCAGCAGUGGGGAAUAUUGCACAAUGGGGGAACCCCUGAUGCAGCGACGCCGCGUGAGUGAAGAAGUAUUUCGGUAUGUAAAGCUCUAUCAGCAGGGAAGAAAAUGACGGUACCUGAUUAAGAAGCCCCGGCUAACUACGUGCCAGCAGCCGCGGUAAUACGUAGGGGGCAAGCGUUAUCCGGAUUUACGGGGUGUAAAGGGAGCGGAGACGGCAGCACAAGUCUGGAGUGAAAUGCCCGGGCUUAACCCCGGAACUGCUUUGGACACUGGGCAGCUAGAGUGCAGGAGAGGUAAGUGGAAUUCCUAUUGUAGCGGUGAAAUGCGUAGAUAUUAGGAGGAACACCAGUGGCGAAGGCGGCUUACUGGACUGUAACUGACGUUGAGGCUCGAAAGCGUGGGGAGCAAACAGGAUUAGAUACCCCAGUAGUC